CCUACGGGUGGCUGCAGUGGGGAAUAUUGGACAAUGGGGGCAACCCUGAUCCAGCCAUGCCGCGUGUGUGAAGAAGGCCCUCGGGUUGUAAAGCACUUUCAGUGAGGAAGAACGCCUGGUGGUUAAUACCCAUCAGGAAAGACAUCACUCACAGAAGAAGCACCGGCUAACUCCGUGCCAGCAGCCGCGGUAAUACGGAGGGUGCGAGCGUUAAUCGGAAUUACUGGGCGUAAAGCGCGCGUAGGUGGCUUGAUAAGCCGGUUGUGAAAGCCCCGGGCUCAACCUGGGAACGGCAUCCGGAACUGUCAAGCUAGAGUGCAGGAGAGGAAGGUAGAAUUCCCGGUGGAGCGGUGAAAUGCGUAGAGAUCGGGAGGAAUACCAGUGGCGAAGGCGGCCUUCUGGACUGACACUGACACUGAGGUGCGAAAGCGUGGGUAGCAAACAGGAUUAGAUACCGGUGUAGUC
rnacentral:rRNA from 1 species